AUUGAACGCUGGCGGCAGGCCUAACACAUGCAAGUCGAGCGGAGCGGCGGACGGGUGAGUAAUGCCUAGGAAUCUGCCUGGUGGUGGGGGAUAACGUCCGGAAACGGGCGCUAAUACCGCAUACUAUCAGAUGAGCCUAGGUCGGAUUAGCUAGUUGGUGGGGUAAAGGCCUACCAAGGCGACGCUCCGUAACUGGUCUUAGAGGAUGAUCAGUCAACCUGGAACUGGGACACGGUCCCGACUCCUACGGGAGGCAGGAGUUGGGAAUAUUGGCCAAUGGGCGAAAGCCUUAUCCAGCCAUGCCGCGUGUGUGAAGAAGGUCUUCGGAUUGGAAAGCUCUUUAAGUUGGGAGGCGUUACCAACAGAAUAAGCACCGGCUAACUUCGUGCCAGCCGCCGCGGUAAUAC
rnacentral:rRNA from 1 species